CGGAACGGGUGAGUAAUGCGUGACCAACCUGCCCCAUGCUCCAGAAUAGCUCUUGGAAACGGGUGGUAAUGCUGGAUGCUCCAACUUGACGCAUGUCUUGUUGGGAAAGUGUUUGGUGGCAUGGGAUGGGGUCGCGUCCUAUCAGCUUGUAGGCGGGGUAAUGGCCCACCUAGGCUUCGACGGGUAGCCGGCCUGAGAGGGCGGACGGCCACAUUGGGACUGAGAUACGGCCCAGACUCCUACGGGAGGCAGCAGGC
rnacentral:rRNA from 1 species